rnacentral:rRNA from 1 species
AGAGUUUGAUCAUGGCUCAGGAUGAACGCCAGCUACAGGCUUAACACAUGCAAGUCGAGGGGCAGCAUUAAGGAAAGCUUGCUUUUCUUAGAUGGCGACCGGCGCACGGGUGAGUAACGCGUAUCAAACCUGCCUCAUACUCGGGGAUAGCCUUGCGAAAGUAAGAUUAAUACCCGGUGUUUUCAAUUUCCCGCAUGAGAGGUUGAACAAAGAUUUAUCGGUAUGAGAUGGUGAUGCGUAGCAUUAGGUAGUAGGCGGGGUAACGGCCCACCUAGCCGACGAUGCUUAGGGGUUCUGAGAGGAAGGUCCCCCACAUUGGAACUGAGACACGGUCCAAACUCCUACGGGAGGCAGCAGUGAGGAAUAUUGGUCAAUGGACGCAAGUCUGAACCAGCCAAGUAGCGUGCAGGAUGACGGCCCUCCGGGUUGUAAACUGCUUUUAGUUGGGAAUAAAGUGCGGUACGUGUACCGUUUUGUAUGUACCAUCAGAAAAAGGACCGGCUAAUUCCGUGCCAGCAGCCGCGGUAAUACGGAAGGUCCGGGCGUUAUCCGGAUUUAUUGGGUUUAAAGGGAGCGCAGGCGGACUUUUAAGUCAGUUGUGAAAUACGGCGGCUCAACCGUCGAACUGCAGUUGAAACUGGAAGUCUUGAGUGCACGCAGGGAUGUUGGAAUUCAUGGUGUAGCGGUGAAAUGCUCAGAUAUCAUGAAGAACUCCGAUCGCGAAGGCAGAUGUCCGGAGUGCAACUGACGCUGAGGCUCGAAAGUGCGGGUAUCAAACAGGAUUAGAUACCCUGGUAGUCCGCACAGUAA